CAUUGCUUCGCUUCGUCUCCGCAACAAGAGCCGCCAUCUUCUCGCGCCUAACGUUUCGUAUGGUUUUGUUCUCUGCAAUCCGCGCACACAGCGCAUCGGUGGCUGCACGUCUGCUCGGCGUCGCAAUGCGGCCUGCGUCAUUUUCUGGUGCUCGCGCAAUCGGUGUGAAACAUGUCGCAUGUGAAAUGUUUGAUAGAAGUGCCUCACGUCCAAGUCAAGCCGCCGUACGGGUGCAUGGCUGUGCGCCCCGUUCUCGGAAGCGUCGACGGGUUUCCGGCAUGCGGAUUUCAGCGUUUGGACUCGACUUUUGGUGAGGAUGUCGAUCGACCUUGGGCCUGGUGACAGCACACCCGACAUCGCCAAAGUUCAGCCUAUCAGUUGAGUGCCCCCGAAUGGACCAUCAACAUCGGAAAAUGAAGCAGAGCCAGGGGGAAAAGGUUCCGGUAACACUGCAUUCAGUAUGGUGGCCCAGACGUGUAUGCAAGCAACCUCCUUCAUGUGGACCAAGAACUACUCUGCAGUGUCUCACAGACUUCCAUGCGAAGCCCUCAACAUUCUCGUCUCAGUGGAAUGGCUGCUCAUCUAUCUGUGUGUCCAUCACCAAGAUGGCCAGUUGUAAAGCUCCUGUACCCGUUUAAGACAGCUUAAUGAUUUUUUUUAUUUAGUUUUCAUGGUUGGCCGUAGAAUCUUAACAUUUUUGAUGUUUCUAACGUUUUUACCUGGCCCAAAGUGGUGCAAUAACUUUAAACCAGUGUAAUGUAUUUAAGUGAUGCUCACUCUAAUGCCUAUCUGGUUUUGUUUGUGUUUAAGAAAUUUGAAUGUCUGAUGAGGUAACAGCAUUUAAACUUGUCAUCGUGGCUCUUUUCAGUGAGCUGCUAGGAAAUAAGAUGCAAAACUUAUCACACGCCAGUUGUAGCAUUUUUGUUUUCAAGACUAAAGUAUACAUGUUUCAAAAGAUGGAAAGUGGGGAAAAAAGCCUCAAGAACAUAAUCAUCCUAGGAUUGUCAUGUCCUUACAACUCUGCAAUGACUAAUGCCUCAUACAUCUUGGGAGCACAUUGGUCGCAAUGCCUACAGGUAUACUUGAUAAGAGAAUAGCUCGCACUCAGAUUUGCCACGCAGUUGAUGGCUGAUAGCUUUUGUUUGUCGUCUUCAUGUUACUACUAUGUAUUCAAUAUUCAUUUACAUGUGCUGCGGUUUUUUGCAGUCACACACACACACACA